rnacentral:rRNA from 1 species
GGCUCAGGAUGAACGCUGGCGGCGUGCUUAACACAUGCAAGUCGAACGGUGAACACGGAGCUUGCUCUGUGGGAUCAGUGGCGAACGGGUGAGUAACACGUGAGCAACCUGCCCCUGACUCUGGGAUAAGCGCUGGAAACGGCGUCUAAUACUGGAUAUGUGACGUGACCGCAUGGUCUGCGUCUGGAAAGAAUUUCGGUUGGGGAUGGGCUCGCGGCCUAUCAGCUUGUUGGUGAGGUAAUGGCUCACCAAGGCGUCGACGGGUAGCCGGCCUGAGAGGGUGACCGGCCACACUGGGACUGAGACACGGCCCAGACUCCUACGGGAGGCAGCAGUGGGGAAUAUUGCACAAUGGGCGCAAGCCUGAUGCAGCAACGCCGCGUGAGGGACGACGGCCUUCGGGUUGUAAACCUCUUUUAGCAGGGAAGA